CGUGCUAUACAUGCAGUCGAACGAACUCUGGUAUUGAUUGGUGCUUGCAUCAUGAUUUACAUUUGAGUGAGUGGCGAACUGGUGAGUAACACGUGGGAAACCUGCCCAGAAGCGGGGGAUAACACCUGGAAACAGAUGCUAAUACCGCAUAACAACUUGGACCGCAUGGUCCGAGCUUGAAAGAUGGCUUUGGCUAUCACUUUUGGAUGGUCCCGCGGCGUAUUAGCUAGAUGGUGGGGUAACGGCUCACCAUGGCAAUGAUACGUAGCCGACCUGAGAGGGUAAUCGGCCACAUUGGGACUGAGACACGGCCCAAACUCCUACGGGAGGCAGCAGUAGGGAAUCUUCCACAAUGGACGAAAGUCUGAUGGAGCAACGCCGCGUGAGUGAAGAAGGGUUUCGGCUCGUAAAACUCUGUUGUUAAAGAAGAACAUAUCUGAGAGUAACUGUUCAGGUAUUGACGGUAUUUAACCAGAAAGCCACGGCUAACUACGUGCCAGCAGCCGCGGUAAUACGUAGGUGGCAAGCGUUGUCCGGAUUUAUUGGGCGUAAAGCGAGCGCAGGCGGUUUUUUAAGUCUGAUGUGAAAGCCUUCGGCUCAACCGAAGAAGUGCAUCGGAAACUGGGAAACUUGAGUGCAGAAGAGGACAGUGGAACUCCAUGUGUAGCGGUGAAAUGCGUAGAUAUAUGGAAGAACACCAGUGGCGAAGGCGGCUGUCUGGUCUGUAACUGACGCUGAGGCUCGAAAGUAUGGGUAGCAAACAGGAUUAGAUACCCUGGUAGUCCAUACCGUAAACGAUGAAUGCUAAGUGUUGGAGGGUUUCCGCCCUUCAGUGCUGCAG
rnacentral:rRNA from 1 species